AUUUUUCACUGUAGUGAUAACAAAAACUAAAAAAACUACCUAGUGACAGAGACUUAACUCGCUACAGAGACCUUGAUGUGAGUAUUUCCAGAUUGAAGGAAUCGUGGCAUUUAAAGUCUGGUGAGGUCCUUGGGAGAUACCAGCAGACCUUGAGCAGAGAGGAACUGAGGAUUAAAUCCGUCUAAUCUUUUGGAGACACCGUUUAGGAUUUCCUACAAGUUUCUGCAGGCCUGAAUGGAAUGACAAAGGAGAGAAAAGAGGAUAUUUAAAUCUUUCCCUAUACCUUUUCUCACUGAAUAACAGAAUAGGUCAAUGGAAUUGUUUUGAGCAGAAGACUACUGGAAAGAGAAAGGAUCAAACAACUUCUCCUUUCUCUGCUAUGCCUUCAUCAAAAUGCACCAGAUGGCUUCUGGUCAUUUAAAAAAAUAUGCACCCUGGACUUUGAGGGACCCAUUCCCCCAUCCAUCUGUUCAAAUUAUUUUAUUCUCAAAGUCUGUAUAAAGUUUUAAAUUUCAUCCAGACUGACAUAUUCCACUUUCCCACACACAUGCUGAACUGCAAACAGACUGAAGCAACUUUUCAGUGAGCAGUUGAAAUAGCAGUGAACAUUCUGUGCCAUCACAUCAGCUUAUCUGAUGAGUGUGCAAUAUUACAAAUGCAAUAUUAUCUAAAUGAUGUGACCAGGUCAAAAAUGUCAAUCUCUUCCUAGACCUCCAAUAUUUCUUUUUACAGAAAGCAAAUCCAAAGUGUGAUCUCCAU
rnacentral:lncRNA from 1 species